GGGCUGACGCAUCGCCGGUGCCCAUCGCUCACGGAAAGCGAACUUGGCGCGCGCGCACACGCACACGCACACGCACACUGCCGCCCGCGCCACGCGCUCCCAACUUGUCCCACGCCCCGGGAGCAGCUCCAUCGUCUUUGAAGUGUUCGCCCUCAGAAACUCCACUCACUGAUGCACGCUUUGUCUGAUUUACUCACGCAGACUCUUUCGUGGGCCUCUGAAACAAGUCUCUGACUCUCUAGGGCACAAAAAAUGAAUGGAUCCAGGGAGCUCUCUGGAAUGCUUUAUUCCUCCAGAUCUGUCAUAAAUAAGAUGAAUGGACAGGAAACAGGAUCCCUUACAUGUUUCUGAACUUUUGGAAUAAUUCAUAUUGGAAACAUGAAGAAAAAGGGAUUGCGGGUGGAGAACUGUCUGGAAAACCAAGGACUCAACAAUAGAGCACCAAGCUUGUAGCUACUUCUCAUGAGGGAUGAACAAUCUUCUCUCUUCCAAAGGAGAGCAAGGAAAAAUUUAAAGAAAUAUUUAAUAUUAAUAAAAAAAGCUCAUUGAGUCUGAAAAAAAAAAAGAAGAGGGGGAGGAGCCAAGAGUAUGAAAAAUACAUAAAUAUGAUGGAUAUAUGUCAGUCAGUUGAGAAGACUUUUGAGAAGUGGUCUCUUUGUUAGCCUGUGAAAUUGCAGUGAUCACAUACACUUGCAGCUCCCUGGACUCUCACUCUCCCUCACUCACAGCAAGUGCUGGCCUUGGAGGAGAGAUGGAACAAAGGAGCGAGACCUGGAACCCCGGAAAGCACUGACUUUUAAAGAAAGAAAAGGAGACAGCCUGGGGGACAGCAGCAGUUUAAUUCCUCUGGCACUAUUCGACAAUCACAAAGGAAAGAAGCAAGGCUUUUAUACAGAUGGAGAACCAAUGUUCCCUUUCUACCUUUGCCUUUUCUAUCAUCUAUCCUGAGUUGGGAAGAAACAUCCUACCUGCACGAACAGUUACUUGUGGAUUGAAGAAAAAUUAAAGUAAAAUUUAUUUUCCUACCCCUCAAAUCUUGUUUUUUUUUUUUUUUGGUACUGGGGAUCGAACUUGGGUCCUUGCGCUUGCGCAACAGGCGGCAAAACCGCUGAGCUAAAUCCCCAGCCCUACCCCUCAAAUCUUAAUAGCAG
rnacentral:lncRNA from 1 species